rnacentral:hammerhead_ribozyme from 1 species
AUCUAGCUGAAGAGUCCGAAAUAGGACGAAACGUGCGUCCUGGAU